CCUACGGGAGGCAGCAGUGGGGAAUAUUGCACAAUGGGCGCAAGCCUGAUGCAGCCAUGCCGCGUGUAUGAAGAAGGCCUUCGGGUUGUAAAGUACUUUCAGUCGUGAGGAAGGCGUUGUAGUUAAUAGCUGCAUCGUUUGACGUUAGCGACAGAAGAAGCACCGGCUAACUCCGUGCCAGCAGCCGCGGUAAU
rnacentral:rRNA from 1 species